rnacentral:lncRNA from 1 species
GAAAUAUGUUGUAGGCCUUGGCGAGUUAUAAAAUAAAACACAAAAUAAAACAUAGGUCACCGUGCUUGUUUUCGAGAAAAUUGAGGCUGAAAAUUGGGGAUUUGUGCAAUUUUGUAAAAAAAUUAGGCAAUGUUAUAAAAUUUUUGGAGCAGAUAUUCUUCGUCGUAAAUUAUUAAGAUCGGGUUCAAUCUGAAGCUGUGAUAAGUGGCAAUAAGGAAAAAAAUAAAUCACUAUACGAAUAACUAUAAAAUUAUUCAAGUCUUGCUUGACAUUGCGGACCAGAUGCUCAAAGUGGUAUUUUUCUAAACCUAAAAAAAUGGAAAAAAACUGUUUCUGAAAAUGUCAUUUUUAUCAUUUUUCUGCAUAAACUGCAUUUUGUCAUGCUUUCUCCAAAUCUCAAAUAAAAAAUAUAGGUCACCGUGCUGGAUUCCAUGAUAAUCACGAUUUAUCCUAAAAAAUUGCGUCACCCCUUUGUAACCUCAACGUUAGCGCUAAAGUGCACGACGUCGCUGGCAGACAAUUUCGACGUUAUCGCUUCAAAUUACCGGCGACAUUUUUCAGAUGUAUAAAUAUUACUUGUAAAGUACUAUCUAUAAAUUGGUAACAUUGUUUUCGGAAGUAAAAUCAUGUGAAUAACAAAUACCUCUCUGUGUUUGUGGUCUAAGUGAGAAACUUCUCAAGAAAAGUUAUUACGGACUGUUGAUAAUUUUUACGGCUUUCAAAAAUUUAAGACUCGGCAAUUUAGAACAUGACAUACAGGUACAUUUACUGUACACACUCGUAUAUUAUUUCAUACUGUAUGAUGACCUCUAGAUGUUGUUCUUUGUUUUGUUUUGUUUGGUUGGCUGCUGUUUCAUUACACAUACUCCUUAAUAUCCUUUAAUUCACGUUUUUAUCACUGAGAAAAUCCGUUUUUGUUGAUACGAAUUUUAAAAAAGUUAGCGUCGUUUGGACAGUAAUCAAAUUUGCCGUUACUUUUCUCGUUUGAGUUGUUUUACCUUGUCAUUUCGGGACCUUUUAUAGCUGACUAUGCGGUAUGGGCUUUGCUCAUUGUUGAAGACCUAUAUAGUUGUUAAUUUCUGUGUCAUGUUUGUGUCUCUUGAUGAGAGUUGUCUAAUUGGCAAUUAUACCACAUCUUCUGUUUUAUGUGGUCAGAAAACAGAAGCAAAAUCUUACAAAGGAGAAUCUUCAAUUUGCUAAUGGAUGCUUUUGUCCAGACAGAGAAACUAUAAUUUUGAAAUUUUUGAUUUGGCAAAAAAAAUGAUUAAAUUAAUAGCGAGAGGACUGGAUAUAUUACGAUUAGUUGCAAUUAAAAUCAUUCUCUCAUAGCGUAAUUUUAUUGGUAAAUAACUAUAUAUUUUUUUCACCACAGCGCGUACAUAAAAUACCGCAUGUCCAUUCCCCUGUCUGUCCUUCCGGACUUCUGGUUAAUUAGAUUUUUCAAGUGUACAAUUCUUGCCAACUUUCUAUAAAAACUGAUAUCGUAUGGACACGUUCGAAAAUCAGUGCAUAUCAACUAUUCUUUAAAAGAGUUAUGCCAUUUGGAAAUAUUAAUUAUAUUGAAAAUUGCAUUGUAUUUUCUGUCAUUCCGUCAUUUCUCUAAUAUAUCUAUAAAAAAAAUAAAGAAAAAAAUAAACAGCUGCGCUUCGAGCGCAUGAUACGCCCUUCGUCUCAUGAAAAAAAAAACAACAUAAUAUAUGUUUUUAAAAUAACACGGGGGUUGUACGGAAGUCAUGCUAGGUAUAUCCUGACUCAUUCAUUAUUCUUGCUCAAUAAUAAGUUUAUAUAUCACAACAUGUUUUAUAUGAUCCCCAAAUUGAAGCUCAAUAAAAAUUCAAGAACUCAAAAAUGAAUUAAAGAAUCAUCAC